CAAAAAAUACCAAGACUGGAAAAUUUCGUACGUCCUUCCCCCCAAAACCCUUUUGGUGCAGAGUUGUAUUUGUAAUCCGACUACACGUCUGUGAAUAUAUGUGAAAAGCAACAACAAAGUAAUGAGAAAAAGAAUUUAUCUUGUGAAACAAAACCAAAAAUUACUAAAUAAUAAAGAAAUAAAAAACAAAAACUUCUCGAUUGUUUGUGAUAAUCAAGAACAAUGUGCCUGUGGAUAAAAUUGCCGAUAAAAAUGCAAAAUUGGUGCAGAACAGAAAUGUUUUAUUUAUUGUGGAAAAGCCAAAACUUAAAUUCUCAAACAACAAUCAAGACAUUUACUUCAUCACACAAUCUUCUUUAUGAAAAUAUUCAUCUCUAAUCCCGAUCUUGUUGACGAUAUGAUCCUUAAAAUAUUUCCAUUCGAAGGACGAAGAAGACAAGCAUUCCAAUAUAAAUAAUUCGGUCUGGCGGAUUUAUCUUUGGAAGCAAAGAAGAUGGAUUGAAUUAAAAUUACACUGUUAAAAAACGCAGAUUGAUGCUGCCAAUGCGGAGGAAGCAGCUUACUUAAAAAGAUGAACUUAAUAACCCGGAUUUUCUAAGAGGAUAAUGAAUGCUAAUUUAAUUAUGAGAACAAAUUGGAUAUUUAAAAUAAACAAUCGUUUUGAUAUAUCAUUAAA